rnacentral:rRNA from 1 species
GACGAACGCUGGCGGCGUGCCUAAUACAUGCAAGUUGAGCGCUGAAGGUUGGUACUUGUACCAACUGGAUGAGCAGCGAACGGGUGAGUAACGCGUGGGGAAUCUGCCUUUGAGCGGGGGACAACAUUUGGAAACGAAUGCUAAUACCGCAUAAAAACUUUAAACACAAGUUUUAAGUUUGAAAGAUGCAAUUGCAUCACUCAAAGAUGAUCCCGCGUUGUAUUAGCUAGUUGGUGAGGUAAAGGCUCACCAAGGCGAUGAUACAUAGCCGACCUGAGAGGGUGAUCGGCCACAGUGGGACUGAGACACGGCCCAAACUCCUACGGGAGGCAGCAGUAGGGAAUCUUCGGCAAGAGACGGAAGUCUGACCGAGCAACGCCGCGGGAGUGAAGAAGGUUGUCGGAUCGUAAAACUCUGUUGGUAGGGAAGAACGUGGGUGAGAGUGGAAAGCUCAUCAAGUGACGGUAACUACCCAGAAAGGGACGGCUAACUACGUG